rnacentral:rRNA from 1 species
CCUACGGGAGGCUGCAGUGGGGAAUAUUGGACAAUGGGGGCAACCCUGAUCCAGCCAUGCCGCGUGUGUGAAGAAGGCCCUCGGGUUGUAAAGCACUUUCAGUGAGGAAGAACGCCUGGUGGUUAAUACCCAUCAGGAAAGACAUCACUCACAGAAGAAGCACCGGCUAACUCCGUGCCAGCAGCCGCGGUAAUACGGAGGGUGCGAGCGUUAAUCGGAAUUACUGGGCGUAAAGCGCGCGUAGGUGGCUUGAUAAGCCGGUUGUGAAAGCCCCGGGCUCAACCUGGGAACGGCAUCCGGAACUGUCAAGCUAGAGUGCAGGAGAGGAAGGUAGAAUUCACGGUGUAGCGGUGAAAUGCGUAGAGAUCGGGAGGAAUACCAGUGGCGAAGGCGGCCUUCUGGACUGACACUGACACUGAGGUGCGAAAGCGUGGGUAGCAAACAGGAUUAGAUACCCGGGUAGUC